UCCAGACUCCUACGGGAGGCAGCAGUGGGGGAUAUUGCACAAUGGGGGGAACCCUGAUGCAGCGACGCCGCGUGGGUGAAGGAGCGUUUCGGCGCGUAAAGCCCUCUCGGCAGGGAAGAAGGAGGACGGUACCUGACUAAGAAGCCCCGGCUAACUACGUGCCAGCAGCCGCGGUAAUACGUAGGGGGCAAGCGUUAUCCGGAUUUACUGGGUGUAAAGGGGGCGCAGACGGCAGCGCAAGCCAGGAGUGAAAGCCCGGGGCCCAACCCCGGGACUGCUCUUGGAACUGCGCGGCUGGAGUGCAGGAGGGGCAGGCGGAAUUCCUGGUGUAGCGGUGAAAUGCGUAGAUAUCAGGAGGAACACCGGUGGCGAAGGCGGCCUGCUGGACUGCGACUGACGUUGAGGCCCGAAAGCGUGGGGAGCAAACAGGAUUAGAUACCCGUGUAGG
rnacentral:rRNA from 1 species